UUUGAAAUCCUUCUCUUUAUCGGGUACCCUUGAAGUGUGGUACUUGACUGAUAGCAAUAGGCUUUCGUUUUCGGAACCUGUUCAUCACAUUUGGCCAAUAGAUAAUACGGGGUUUCCAUACCGGCCUUUCGACCUCAGGUAUUAGCCGUAUUUCAUUUCUUUAAUUGUGGGUUUUCCAUACUGGUCUUUCGACCUCAGGUAUUUGCCACCAUGUGUUGGGUCCGCCGGUCCCUCCCGCGUCCCUUGCCUACCCGACCAUCAAUCAAGUACCAUACUCCCAUUUUCAAAACAUCUUCUUUCAUAUCGCUAUGACUCAUCAAUCAUUCAAACAUCAUGAAGAACACGUAGCAAAAGUCACAUUAAAGAACACAUAAUUAGGUUCUUAUGAUGAGCAAAUGAAAGCUUCAACUUACCUCAAAAUCAAUAUGGUUUGUGAAGUAAAAGGAUCAGUCUUAGAUAAGGUGUGCUAAAAGCCUUGAUUACAGAUGAAUUCAAACUUCAAAACAUAGGAUUUUCAGCUAGAAAAGGUGAAGAACUUGUUCUAGCUAUACUUUUAUGAGUUCUUAGGGUUUGAUAUUCUCUUAUGUGAAUAUGGAAGUGAAGAAAUAAGAAGAGAAGCUUAAGUGAAUAGGUCUGGUCGUUUUGGAAGAAGACAAAUGAAAAUGAAGACCAAAACACAAAGUCUUCACUUAUCUACCCAUUCCCAACAAGGCCAAAUGGAGGGUGGUGAUUGGAAGGCUUGUAUUUGUUGGAUUCUUGUGGUUCCUCCACAUUUUUCUAGCUUGAGAUAAGAUAUGGGCUGAUGCUUACUCAUUAUAAUCAAGUGUAAACAAUUUGAGAAUGGUCUUGUGCAACCUAGUCAACCAACCAAUCAAAUUGCACCCUUUUGCAUACUUUGGUUUUAGUCUAAUAUGAGUUACUUCAAGUAAUUACAUAUGUAAUUAAUCAUAUAAAAAUGUAAUUAAAAUGCAGAACUGCAAUUAAGACAAAUAUAUCAGCGUUUAGCACAUUUUAAGAAAAGUAUUCGAUCACGUAUUAAAAACACAAUUAAGGUACAUGUGUAGCAAGUAGUCGUGAUCAUGCAUCAUGAAUAAUGAAUUAUAACUAUAUGCAUUGAUGCAAUAUGCUUAUUAUUGGCCAUGUACGGAUUAUUGGGCAUUACAAUCCUUCCCUCCUUAUAAAAUUUCGCCCUCAAAAUUUGACGUACCGAACAAUUCUGGAUAUUUGCUAUGCAUUUCUUCCUCUCUUUCCCACGUGGAUUCUUCAAUAGAUUGAUUUCUCCACAAUACCUUAACUAAUGGAAUCUUUUUAUUUCUCAGCUCCUUGACUUUUCGAUCAAUAAUUUGAAUUGGUUUCUCCUCAUAAGACAAAUCUGCAGAAAACUCUAACGGUUCAUAACUCAACACAUGAGAGGGAUUUGAAAUGUACUUCUUCAACAUAGACACAUGGAAAACAUUGUGAACACCAGAUAAUGAAGGAGGUAAGGCUACUCUAUAUGCUCUAUCACCAACUCUUUCAAGGAUUUCAAACGGACCAACAUAUCUUGGACUAAGUUUUCCUUUCUUUCCAAAUCUCAUGAUGCCUUUCAAUGGAGCCACUUUCAAAAAUACAUGGUCGCCAACUGUAAACUCUAGAUCUCUUCUUCGUUUAUCUGCAUAGCUUUUCUGUCUACUCUGUGCCAUCUUCAUUCUUUCCCUUAUCUUCUGUACCGUCUCAGCUGUAUGUUGCACCAUCUCUGGCCCAAGUAGACUUCUUUCGCCAACUUCAUCCCAAUGAACUGGAGAUCUACAUUUUCUCCCAUAUAGUGCUUCAUAAGGUGCCAUUCCAAUUGUAGAUUGAUAACUGUUAUUGUAAGUGAACUCUACCAAUGGAAGUUUUUCAUCCCAGCUCCCUUUCAAAUCUAGAACACAAGCUCUUAACAUAUCCUCAAGUAUUUGAAUAACUCUCUCGGAUUGUCCAUUAGUCUGUGGAUGAAAUGUUGUACUAAAUGCAAGCUUUGUCCCCAUAGCAUUGUGCAAACUCUUCCAAAAUGCAGAAGUAAACUUCGGAUCUCUAUCAGACACUAUUGACACUGGCACUCCAUGCAAUAACUACCUCUUUAAUAUAUUGUUGUGCAUAUUGCUCCAUGUUGAAUGUGGACUUCACUUAAAGAAAAUGGGUUGAUUUAGUUAGUCUAUCAACAAUCACCCAUAUGGAAUUGUUUCCCCUUUGUGUUCUAGGCAAUCCAAGCACAAAAUCCAUUGUAAUAUGCUCCCAUUUCCACUCUGGAAUCAGUAAAGGUUUCAAUAGUCCUGCUGGUCUUUGAUGUUCCAUUUUAACUUGUUGACAAGUGAGGCAUUCAGCCACAAACUUUGCUAUAUCUUUCUUCAUGUUAGGCCACCAGUAGUGUAGUUGUAAGUCUUUGUACAUUUUUGUGCUGCCCGGGUGCACUGAGUAAGGACUUCUGUGAGCUUCUUCCAAAAUGUCGCCCUUUAUGUUAGCAUCAAAAGGAACACACAAUCUGCCUUUAUAUCUAAUUAUUUCAUCGUUACCAAUAGAGAAGUUCGGCCUCUUCUUAGCAUCAAUCAUACUUCGCAACCUGGACAAAUACUUAUCCACUUUCUGGGCCUCUUUGAUUCGGUCAUGCAAUACGGGUUUUAAUACUAAAGAUGAUAAAGAACUAACCGUCCCUUUAGGUACAAUUUCAAGCUCUAACCUUUGUAAAUCCAGUAGUAUUGGUUUCUGUAUAACAAGGAAGGAAGACAUAGAUUUUCUACUCAAUGCAUCUGCAGCCACAUUAGCUUUACCAGGAUGAUAGUUAAUCAAACAGUCAUAAUCCUUCACAAGUUCUAACCAUCUUCGCUGUCUCAUAUUCAAUUCUUUCUGAGUGAAGAAGUACUUCAAGCUCUUGUGAUCCGUGUAAAUCUCACAUUUCUCACCAUAUAGGUAAUGCCUCCAAAUUUUCAAGGCAAACACAACGGCAGCAAGCUCUAAAUCAUGAGUUGGUUAAUUCUUCUCAUACUCCUUCAAUUGUCUUGAAGCAUAGGAGAUAACAUUCCCAUGCUGCAUCAAUACAGCACCCAAUCCAUUUUUUGAAGCAUCACUAUACACUACGAAUCCACCAGUUCCAGAAGGAAUGACGAGAACAGGAGCUGUAGUACAUCUCCGUUUCAACUCUUGAAAGCUACUUUCACAUGCAUCAGUCCAUACAUACUUCACGUUCUUUCGCGUAAGCAUUGUUAAUGGAGUUGCUAUCUUGGAAAACCCCUGAACAAAUCUUCGAUAAUAUGCUGCCAAUCCUAAGAAACUUCUAACCUCUGAUACAGUUGUUGGUGUUGGCCAAUUUUUGACAGCUUCUAUCUUACUCGGGUCGACAGAAAUACCAUUCUUGGACACGACAUGCCCUAGGAAUACAACUUGAUCAAGCCAAAACUCGCACUUCUUAAAUUUAGCAUAUAGUUGCCUUUCUUUCAAUAUUUGCAACACCACUCUCAAAUGUUCUCUAUGUUCGUCUUUAUCAUGGGAAUAGAUCAAUAUAUCAUCAAUGAACACAAUCACAAAUUUGUCGAGGAACUCCUUGAACACCCUAUUCAUCAAAUCCAUAAAAGAUGCGGGGGCAUUUUGUAACGCCCCACAACCUAACAGCAGAAUCCAAUCGGAUCACCACCAUUAAGUUAGGGAUGCUAACCUUUUACAUAUUUACUUGAACAUUAUGGUUUUAAUACAAAAAUAAAUAAUAUGCUUUGAAAAGAAAUCAAACUCUGUACUUUCUCGAAAUCUGUACAUAUAUAGAUAUAUAUUGUUUACAAAAUUACUUUGUACAACAACCAUAAUAGAGCGGCUAACAAAAUCAAAUCAGAGUUUCUAGCUCGGCUACAAAAAUGGCGCGAAGCAUGGCAUAUGAACAAAACUCUGUCUGGCCGCUCUUGGCUAGGUCAACUUCUAAACAUGUACAUCAUUACCUGCAUCAUAAGGACCUAAUGAGCUAAAAGCUCAGCAAGUUGUAACUGAUGUAAUAACAAUCUAUCACAUAACACGUUAUUCAUUCAAUAUGUACAAUAUCACAUAUAACUUCAUUCGUGAUCCUUUUCUUUGAAAUCCUUCUCUUUAUCGGGUACCCUUGAAGUGUGGUACUUGACUGAUAGCAAUAGCCUUUCGUUUUCGGAACCUGUUUAUCAUAUUUGGCCAAUAGAUAAUACGGGGGUUUCCAUACCAGCCUUUCGACCUCAGGUAUUAGCCGUAUUUCAUUUCUUUAAUUGUGGGUUUUCCAUACUGGUCUUUCGACCUCAGGUAUUUGCCACCAUGUGUUGGGUCCGCCGGUUCCUCCCGCGUCCCUUGCCUACUCGACCAUCAAUCAAGUACCAUACUCCCAAUUUCAAAACAUAUUCUUUCAUAUCACUAUGACCCAUCA
rnacentral:lncRNA from 1 species